CCUACGGGCGGCAGCAGUGGGGAAUAUUGGACAAUGGGGGCAACCCUGAUCCAGCCAUGCCGCGUGUGUGAAGAAGGCCCUCGGGUUGUAAAGCACUUUCAGUGAAGAAGAACGCCUGGUGGUUAAUACCCAUCAGGAAAGACAUCACUCACAGAAGAAGCACCGGCUAACUCCGUGCCAGCAGCCGCGGUAAUACGGAGGGUGCGAGCGUUAAUCGGAAUUACUGGGCGUAAAGCGCGCGUAGGUGGCUUGAUAAGCCGGUUGUGAAAGCCCCGGGCUCAACCUGGGAACGGCAUCCGGAACUGUCAAGCUAGAGUGCAGGAGAGGAAGGUAGAAUUCCCGGUGUAGCGGUGAAAUGCAUAGAGAUCGGGAGGAAUACCAGUGGCGAAGGCGGCCUUCUGGACUGACACUGACACUGAGGUGCGAAAGCGUGGGUAGCAAACAGGAUUAGAUACCCCAGUAGUC
rnacentral:rRNA from 1 species